GAAAUAAGCAAUGUGUCAGUCCUGUUUCACAGAAGCCACCAAAUAACAGCAGGCUUUUACAACUCCAGAAAGGCUGGGAAUCAGACUCCCGCUGCACAUGUGUCCUUCUGUUCGCUAUUUCUAUUUCCAAGUCUUGCGCUUCUUCCAAAGUGUGUAAAGUCACUGGAAGUGCGUUGAAGAGAUGCAAACCAGGAAGUGUUUACGUGAUAAAACGGGCUCAGAGACAACUCUCUGGCAAGGGGAAACCAAGGGCGAGAAAACUGACCACCAGAGGAAGGCACCGGGACUUUGUCCCUCCUUUCCACUCCAUUCCUGCCCUGGCCCCCAUUUCUCCGUUGUGUGGCCACUACAGUGUUGCCAACUGGCACCCGCGGGCCAGAGGAUAAUUUACAUCGGCCGUCAUGCUAUCAGCUCUCCCCACACAGUGCAACAGGUAGAGGAUGAAAACGGAUGCUUGCAAGAACCUUAAAUGGAUAUGGCAGAGAAGGCUGCCAGGCCAGGAACGGGGUGGUAAGAAUGUCCAAUACAAAUCUGACAUCUGCUGGGAUAAUAAAACUGAUGAGCAUUUAGGGCA
rnacentral:lncRNA from 1 species